rnacentral:rRNA from 1 species
GAUGAACGCUGGCGGCGUGCCUAAUACAUGCAAGUCGAGCGAAAGGACGAGGAGCUUGCUUCGCGGAUGUUAGCGGCGGGGGGGUGAAUCACGCGUGGAUAACCUACCUAUAUGACUGGGAUCACUUCGAGAAACCGGCGCUAAUAGCGUAGGAUAUUUUGCAGCACGUGGUUGAAAAGUGAGAUACGGUCUUGCUGGCUCUACUCGCUGGAUCUGGGCUGCAUUAGGUAGUUGGGAAGGUAACGGCUUACCAAGGCAACGAUGCAUAGCCGACCGGCGAGGGGGAUCGGCCACACUGGAACUGAGACACGGUCCAGACUCCUAAGGGAGGCAGCAGUAGGGAAUCUUAGGCAAUGGGCGAAAGCCUGACGGAGCAACGCCGCGUGAGUGAUGAAGGUCUUCGGAUCGUAAAACUCUGUUAUUAGGGAAGAACAUAUGUGGAAGGAACUGUGCACAUCUUGACGGUACCUAAUCAGAAAGCCACGGCUAACUACGUG